GCUCCCUGAUGUUAGCGGCGGACGGGUGAGUAACACGUGGGUAACCUGCCUGUAAGACUGGGAUAACUCCGGGAAACCGGGGCUAAUACCGGAUGGUUGUUUGGACCGCAUGGUUCAAACAUAAAAGGUGGCUUCGGCUACCACUUACAGAUGGACCCGCGGCGCAUUAGCUAGUUGGUGAGGUAACGGCUCACCAAGGCAACGAUGCGUAGCCGACCUGAGAGGGUGAUCGGCCACACUGGGACUGAGACACGGCCCAGACUCCUACGGGAGGCAGCAGUAGGGAAUCUUCCGCAAUGGACGAAAGUCUGACGGAGCAACGCCGCGUGAGUGAUGAAGGUUUUCGGAUCGUAAAGCUCUGUUGUUAGGGAAGAACAAGUACCGUUCGAAUAGGGCGGUACCUUGACGGUACCUAACCAGAAAGCCACGGCUAACUACGUGCCAGCAGCCGCGGUAAUACGUAGGUGGCAAGCGUUGUCCGGAAUUAUUGGGCGUAAAGGGCUCGCAGGCGGUUUCUUAAGUCUGAUGUGAAAGCCCCCGGCUCAACCGGGGAGGGUCAUUGGAAACUGGGGAACUUGAGUGCAGAAGAGGAGAGUGGAAUUCCACGUGUAGCGGUGAAAUGCGUAGAGAUGUGGAGGAACACCAGUGGCGAAGGCGACUCUCUGGUCUGUAACUGACGCUGAGGAGCGAA
rnacentral:rRNA from 1 species